UACGUAGGUGGCGAGCGUUAUCCGGAAUUAUUGGGUGUAAAGGGCGCGCAGGCGGCAUUGUAAGUCAGAUGUGAAAUCUCCCGGCUCAACCGGGAGUGUGCAUUGGAUACUGCAGUACUUGAGUGAUGGAGGGGAAAGGGGAAUUCCUAGUGUAGCGGUAAAAUGCGUAGAUAUUAGGAGGAACACCAGUGGCGAAGGCGGCUUACUGGCUAGUAACUGACGCUGAGGCGCGAAAGCGUGGGGAGCAAACAGG
rnacentral:rRNA from 1 species